GACGAACCGUGCAAACGUUAUUCGGAAUCACUGGGCAUAAAGGGCGCGUAGGCGGCUCCAAAAGUCAGGGGUGAAAUCCGGCAGCUUAACUGUCGCAGUGCCUUUGAUACUGUGGAGCUAGAGGGAGGUAGGGGUCUGUGGAAUUCCUGGUGUAGCGGUGAAAUGCGCAGAUAUCAGGAAGAACACCCGUGGCGAAGGCGGCUCUCUGGGACGGUACUGACGCUGAGACGCGAAAGCGUGGGGAGCGAACAGG
rnacentral:rRNA from 1 species